UGGGGAAUAUUGGACAAUGGGCGAAAGCCUGAUCCAGCAACGCCGCGUGAGGGAUGACGGCCUUCGGGUUGUAAACCUCUUCAGCAGGGACGAAGCGCAAGUGACGGUACCUGCAGAAGAAGCACCGGCCAACUACGUGCCAGCAGCCGCGGUAAUACGUAGGGUGCGAGCGUUGCUCGGAAUUACUGGGCGUAAAGGGCGCGUAGGCGGGUCGUUUAGUUAGAGGUGAAAGCCCAGGGCUCAACCCUGGAAUUGCCUUUAAUACUGGCGGCCUUGAGUAUGGCAGAGGUGUGUGGAACUCCGAGUGUAGAGGUGAAAUUCGUAGAUAUUCGGAAGAACACCAGUGGCGAAGGCGACACACUGGGCCAUUACUGACGCUGAGGCGCGAAAGCGUGGGGAGCAAACAGGAUUAGAUACCC
rnacentral:rRNA from 1 species